rnacentral:rRNA from 1 species
GAUGAACGCUGGCGGCGUGCCUAAUACAUGCAAGUCGAGCGAACAGACGAGGAGCUUGCUCCUCUGACGUUAGCGGCGGACGGGUGAGUAACACGUGGAUAACCUACCUAUAAGACUGGGAUAACUUCGGGAAACCGGAGCUAAUACCGGAUAAUAUAUUGAACCGCAUGGGUCAAUAGUGAAAGACGGCUUUGCUGUCACUUCUAGAGGGAUCCGCGCCGCAUGAGCUAGUUGGUAAGGUAACGGCUUACCAAGGCAACGAUGCGUAGCCGACCUGAGAGGCGGGUAGGCGACACUGGAGGUGAGACAGGGUCCAGACUACUGAGAGAGGCAGCAGUAGGGAAUCGUCCGCAGUAGGCGAGAGCCUGACAGAGCGACGCCGAGUGAGAGAUGGAGGCCUUCGGAUCGUAAAGCUCGGUUAUUAGGGAAGAACAGAUGUGUAAGUAGCUGUGGACGUAUUGACGGUACCUAAUCAAGAAGCAACGGCUAACUACGUG